GAAGGCUGCGAUGAGGAUAACAGAGCUCCCUCUUCCGAAAUGAGAUCUUGAGGACGCUCGCUGGCAGAAUCGAACCAUUACUCUUAAUCGCCACCACUGAGUAA